UUAUAAACAGAAUCCUUUCAUUUGAUCAAACAGAAAAAUAUUUGUUUGCCUACAUAAAAUAAUAUAAUUAGAGAAAGCAAAGAACAAUAAUUUGAUUAUAUCAGACAUUCUUUCUUUGAAGGUAACACCAUUGUGACAUUUCACCAUAAACAAAACAUAACAGAGGAUUCCAAAAGGAGUGGGUAAGUAGCUUAAAAUAGUUAGUUUGCAAGGACAGGAGUCAGAGAGACCAGAAGUUACUUUUUUAGCUUUCUGUUCUGUACAGAGGAAGGCUGAAACUGAACCAGGCAAGGAAUCACGAGAAGUGGGUUGGAACCUGUUACAAGAAACAACUUGGCAGAAUGAACAAGUAAGAUAUGACACACAGAGACACACACAUUAUGCUCUGUUCCUCUCUCUGUGUCAGAAAUGUCCCAAUCUUACCUAGUCGCUUAUCAAACUCCAUUACCAAUGCCACACCUCUCUUGCCUUCUUCCUUCUUCUCUCUCUCCAAUUUCCACUCUUCUCUUAUAAGCUUUCCUUUCCCUUACAUUAUAAUACUGAGACAUCGAAAGAAUCAGGACAACAGCACUGUGAGAAAGAAAAAGAACCAUUUUAUACCUUCAAUCCAACAAUGUCGAGCAAUGGAGUUGAGCAGGCUCAGAAAGAGAAGCUCCACAAGCUUCAGGCACUGCGUCUAUUCACUUCUCCUUCCAAAGAGCUUUUCUUUGAGCUGAAGCUUUUUUCUUUCUUCGGUUUCCCUCCUGUAUCUCAUUCUUGGUUUGGUUAAUCUUGGUUGUAGCUUUACAGUUUUUGAUGGUGUUUUUUCCCUUUUUCUUUGUGUUCAACAGAAGCAUGUCCUGAAAGUAAACGUGGACUGUGAAGGGUGUCGGAAGAAAGUCUGGAAAUUGCUGAAGAAGAUUGAUGGUGAGUGAAGAUAGUAGUUAUUAAAAAUUCGUAGAGAUAAGCUUAACCUUUUAUUGUCUAUUGGAGUUGCAGGUGUAUACUCCAUAGACAUUGAUGCAGAAACCCAGGAGGUGACUGUGUCAGGAGCUGUGCGUUCUGCUACUUUGAUCAAUAUGUUAAACAAAGCUGGCAAAUAUGCAGAGCUUUGCUUUCCAAGAGUGCAGCUUCAAGCAGCUCUUGUCCCUAAUAAACAGAACACGCUUCCUAUUUCCAUUGGAGAUGAAGUUGAGGAUCUCAGCGGCAGCUUCAGGAACCAGAACAUAGGGAUGGGUUCUUCUGGUACGACCC
rnacentral:lncRNA from 1 species